UACAGAGGGUGCGAGCGUUGUUCGGAAUUAUUGGGCGUAAAGCGCACGUAGGCGGUUCGUCAUGUCGGAUGUGAAAGCCCUUGGCUCAACUGAGGAAGUGCAUCCGAAACUGGCGAGCUAGAGUAUGUAAGAGGGUCGCGGAAUUCCCGGUGUAGAGGUGAAAUUCGUAGAUAUCGGGAGGAACACCGGUGGCGAAGGCGGCGACCUGGGACAAUACUGACGCUGAGGUGCGAAAGCGUGGGGAGCAAACAGG
rnacentral:rRNA from 1 species